AGUCAUUAGCUCGCGUUGAUUCACGUACCCUGCCCUUUGUACACACCGCCCGUCGCUACUACCGAUUGAAUGGUUUAGUGAGGUCCUCCGAUUGGACCCGGUCCGGGCGGCGACGUCCGAGCCGGCGUCCGAGAAGACGAUCUAACUUGAUCAUUUAGAGGAAGUAAAAGUCGUAACAAGGUUUCCGUAGGUGAACCUGCGGAAGGAUCAUUA
rnacentral:ncRNA from 1 species